rnacentral:rRNA from 1 species
AUGCUGAAACAAGGGAUCAUCCAACCAAGCCGCAGCCCAUUCGCAUCUCCAGUUUUGCUAGUGCUCAAGAAAAAUGGUGAAUGGUGUUUCUGUGUUGACUAUCGCCAUUUGAAUGCCAUCACCAUCAAAAAUCGUUACCCACUGCCCGUUAUCGAUGAACUGCUCGAUGAACUGGCCGGUUCAGCUUGGUUUACCACUUUGGAUCUGCGCACUGGUUUCCAUCAGAUCCGUAUGCGUCCUGAAGAUGAAGCCAAGACUUCAUUCCGGACACACCACGGUCAUUUUGAGUUCAAGGUAAUGCUGUAUGGGGUCACCGGGGGGCCUCCCACCUUUCAGUCAGGGAUGUGCGUG